rnacentral:rRNA from 1 species
UGGGGAAUAUUGGGCAAUGGGCGAAAGCCUGACCCAGCAACGCCGCGUGAAGGAAGAAGGUUUUCGGAUUGUAAACUUCUUUUAUCAGGGACGAAGAAAGUGACGGUACCUGAUGAAUAAGCCACGGCUAACUACGUGCCAGCAGCCGCGGUAAUACGUAGGUGGCAAGCGUUAUCCGGAAUUACCGGGUGUAAAGGGAGUGUAGGCGGGACUGUAAGUCAGAUGUGAAAUAUGCCGGCUCAACUGGCAGACUGCAUUUGAAACUGUGGUUCUUGAGUGAAGUAGAGGUAAGCGGAAUUCCUGGUGUAGCGGUGAAAUGCGUAGAUAUCAGGAGGAACAUCAGUGGCGAAGGCGGCUUACUGGGCUUUAACUGACGCUGAGGCUCGAAAGCGUGGGGAGCAAACAGGAUUAGAUACCCUGGUAGU